AGUCCUUCUUCACCUCUGCCUUGGAAAAACCAGUUUCUCUCGCUUUUAUUGUCUGUUACCUAUUUCUACAAGUUCUAUUUCUAAAAGUUCCCCUGAACCCCGCCGUAUACUCCAAACCCUCUCUUCCAGCUACCUUCACUCCCUCCACUCCGCUUCCACGGUUCUCUGCUUCUAUGUUCUUUUUUCCUUAAAGGGCGGAUGACUCUUCAGGACUGGCCCCCACCCUCCCUCAGGAGCAGGCCUGCUGGGCCGGACACCACACACUCCUCACCGACCUCCACCUGGUUUCACACUGGCAGACGGACCCGCAAAGUACCGUUCAUGCUCUUUGGAUGGUGCAUUCUGGAAAGGAAUGCCCCUGCCCCUGCAUUCCCUCACCUUGAUUUCAGUGGAGUGAAGCUCAGGAGGCGUGGAGCUGACACCGCAGCGGCCGCGGCUGAGUAGCUCCGACUUGGAGAAGGAAAGGCCCAGGGAGGGAGGUGAGCCCUGAAAGGAGACAUCUGGAGUGUGGCUUCUCCUGCAGAGGGACUGGGGGCUGGGCGGUGGACAGAUUGCAAAAGACACCACAGAUGGGAGCCGCUUAUUGCUUCUUGUCUAAAAUUGAUGCUAUGGAAAUGUGUGUUUUCUGUAACUUCCAAAAAUUAAAAGUUGUCUGUCUGCUGGAAAGCCUGCCUCUGUGACUCAUGCUUGGGAUGCGGACUCCCUGGCCUUCUAAGUCACCUCCCCUUGGGGCUACAAUGGAGACAGGAGCUGGAAUCAUGGACACAGGGCCCCUCUCUCCUGGG